UACGAAGGGGGCUAGCGUUGCUCGGAAUUACUGGGCGUAAAGGGCGCGUAGGCGGAUACUUAAGUCGGGGGUGAAAGCCCAGGGCUCAACCCUGGAAUAGCCUUCGAUACUGGGUAUCUUGAGUACGGGAGAGGUGAGUGGAACUCCGAGUGUAGAGGUGAAAUUCGUAGAUAUUCGCAAGAACACCAGUGGCGAAGGCGGCUCACUGGCCCGAUACUGACGCUGAGGUGCGAAAGCGUGGGGAGCAAACAGG
rnacentral:rRNA from 1 species